GCUCGGUUAGCUCAGUCUGUAGGGCACCAGACUCUUAAUCUGGUUGUCACGGGUUCUAGCCUCGCAUCGGGCU
rfam:Angiostrongylus cantonensis strain Taiwan genome assembly, scaffold: ACAC_contig0012123